rnacentral:lncRNA from 1 species
UAGAUAACUAUUAGAUCAGAAUCAGUUAGAUUUUUUAUCCAUUUCAGAUUUCAGAGGUUUGGCAAGAGAUCUAAGGAUACCAGCAUAGGGACGACACCAACAGUUAAUUUGCAACUUACCAUCCUAAACAUCUUUUCUCACGACUAACACAACAAUUAUCGUGCUACCUGUUUGGUCCGCUCUAUAUGGCUAAAAAUCG